rnacentral:piRNA from 1 species
UCCAAGAACACAUUAAAGCAAUCAUC